GACGAACGCUGGCGGCGUGCUUAACACAUGCAAGUCGAACGGAAAGGCCUGCUUUCCCUUGUGGAUUGCGGGUACUCGAGUGGCGAACGGGUGAGUAACACGUGAGUGAUCUGCCCCCAACUUGGGUAUAAGCCUGGGAAACUGGGUCUAAUUCCCGAUAGGACUGCAGGGUGGUGCCUGUGGUGGAAAACGAUUUUCUAGUGGUUGGGGAUGAGCUCGCGGCCUAUCAGCUUGUUGGUGGGGUAAUGGCCGACCAAGGCGGCGACGGGUAGCCGGCCUGGGAGGGUGGACGGCCACAUUGGGACUGAGACACGGCCCAGACUCCUACGGGAGGCAGCAGUGGGGAAUAUUGCACAAGGGGCGGAAGCCUGAGGCAGCGACGCCGCGUGGGGGAUGACGGCCGUCGGGUGGUAAACUCCUUUCGACCGCGAGGAAGCCACCUGGUUGGAAGGGUGGUGACGGUAGUGGGAGAAGAAGCACCGGCUAACUACGUG
rnacentral:rRNA from 1 species